rnacentral:rRNA from 1 species
CCUACGGGAGGCAGCAGUGGGGAAUAUUGGACAAUGGGCGCAAGCCUGAUCCAGCCAUGCCGCGUGAGUGAUGAAGGCCUUAGGGUUGUAAAGCUCUUUCACCGGUGAAGAUAAUGACGGUAGCCGGAGAAGAAGCCCCGGCUAACUUCGUGCCAGCAGCCGCGGUAAU